rnacentral:rRNA from 1 species
GACGAACGCUGGCGGCGUGCUUAACACAUGCAAGUCGAACGGAAAGGCCCCUUUGGGGGUACUCGAGUGGCGAACGGGUGAGUAACACGUGAGUAACCUGCCCUUGACUUCGGGAUAACUUCAGGAAACUGGGGCUAAUACCGGAUAGGAAUCCUUGCUGCAUGGUGGGGGUUGGAAAGCUUCGGCGGUUUUGGAUGGACUCGCGGCUUAUCAGCUUGUUGGUGGGGUAGUGGCUUACCAAGGCUUUGACGGGUAGCCGGCCUGAGAGGGCGACCGGCCACAUUGGGACUGAGAUACGGCCCAGACUCCUACGGGAGGCAGCAGUGGGGAAUAUUGCACAAUGGGCGGAAGCCUGAUGCAGCAACGCCGCGUGCGGGAUGACGGCCUUCGGGUUGUAAACCGCUUUCAGCAGGGGCGAAGCUUGUGGUGACGGUACCUGCAGAAGAAGCACCCGCUAACUACGUG